UCCCUGGUGGUCUAGUGGCUAAGAAUCCUGUGCGUUCACCACUGUAGCCUGGGUUUGAUUCCUGGGCAGGGAA